CUUUGUUUCUGCAGAACAGGAACCUGCUGGAAACCAGUUUUUAAACUGAGCCAGGCCAGUUUAUAUUGUAACUUAAUUGUUGAUUUUUAAUUUUACUGUUUAACA